GGGGGCGACCGGUUUUGACAGGUAUGGCACUUGUAGGUGUAAAGCAUGUGGUAGGGCGGGGCUACCUUAAAACUAGCAAAAAAAUAAACGCUGACGAAAAUUAUUCAUUAGCACUUGCUGCCUAACUUUUGGUGGCUCACUUUAAUUAGUAGGCUUACUGGACUAAUUGAAGUGUCAAAUUAAAGUAAGAACUCAGACUUUUUUCUCAUAGAAAGUUUGGGUGUUAAAUAUAUGAGAUAGAAUAAUUGUUGGGUGUUGUUUGCUGACAUUUAUUGACAAUUAACAAACAACUAAACAUGUAGAAAGACCUAUAAACCAUAUUUGGACGUGGGUUCAAUUCCCACCGCCUCCACCA
rnacentral:tmRNA from 1 species